GUGAGGAAUAUUGGUCAAUGGGCGAGAGCCUGAACCAGCCAAGUCGCGUGAGGGAAGACUGCCCUAUGGGUUGUAAACCUCUUUUGACGGGGGAUAAAGUGCGGGACGUGUCCCGUAUUGCAGGUACCCGUCGAAUAAGGAUCGGCUAACUCCGUGCCAGCAGCCGCGGUAAUACGGAGGAUCCGAGCGUUAUCCGGAUUUAUUGGGUUUAAAGGGUGCGCAGGCGGCCUGUUAAGUCAGCGGUGAAAUCUCGGGGCUCAACCCCGGAACUGCCGUUGAUACUGGUAGGCUUGAGUGCGGAUAAGGAUGGCGGAAUGUGUCAUGUAGCGGUGAAAUGCUUAGAUAUGCCACAGAACACCGAUUGCGAAGGCAGCUGUCCGGGCCGUAACUGACGCUGAGGCACGAAAGCGUGGGUAUCGAACAGGAUUAGAUACCCUUGUAGUCC
rnacentral:rRNA from 1 species